rnacentral:lncRNA from 10 species
CAGAUGUCAAUUUUAUUGCCAAACAAGGUAAAUGGGUAAACAAGUAAAUCCCUACCUCCCCCAGCCCCCACAACCCCAGGACUACUGCUUAUUACCAGGGGAACCAUUUUUCCAGAGCCCCUCAUUUGGAAUGGUUGGAAGAUUGCCACGCAACAAGGACUACCCCCAAAAGGGCUACCAUUCAAGUCUGGUGUCCACCAGGACCACCUGGCUUAAGCUCGAUCUACCCCAUUCCUUCCUUUACCAUCUUCUCUAAUUUAGGAUAACAGUAUCCACAAAUUAAGUGCUACUGCUUUCCAAGAACUAAAUGAUUUAACAGCUCCCUACCAGAUAGGAUCUAUUGUCUCCAUUUCACAGAAGACAAGAGGAACAAGUUGAGAAUGACUGUAUUUGAUGAAUUGGG